rnacentral:rRNA from 1 species
GACGAACGCUGGCGGCGUGCUUAACACAUGCAAGUCGAACGGGAAGGCCCUGCUUUUGUGGGGUGCUCGAGUGGCGAACGGGUGAGUAACACGUGAGUAACCUUCCCUUGACUUUGGGAUAACUUCAGGAAACUGGGGCUAAUACCGGAUAGGAGCUCCUGCUGCAUGGUGGGGGUUGGAAAGUUUCGGCGGUUGGGGAUGGACUCGCGGCUUAUCAGCUUGUUGGUGGGGUAGUGGCUUACCAAGGCUUUGACGGGUAGCCGGCCUGGGAGGGUGACCGGCCACAUUGGGACUGAGAUACGGCCCAGACUCCUACGGGAGGCAGCAGUGGGGAAUAUUGCACAAUGGGCGGAAGCCUGAUGCAGAAACGCCGCGUGCGGGAUGACGGCCUUCGGGUUGUAAACCGCUUUCGCCUGUGACGAAGCGUGAGUGACGGUAAUGGGUAAAGAAGCACCGGCUAACUACGUG